rnacentral:rRNA from 1 species
GACGAACGCUGGCGGCGUGCUUAACACAUGCAAGUCGAACGGAAAGGCCCUGCUUGCAGGGUGCUCGAGUGGCGAACGGGUGAGUAACACGUGGGUGAUCUGCCCCUUAUUUUGGGAUAAGCCUGGGAAACUGGGUCUAAUACUGGAUAGGACCAUGCUGUAGGUGGUGUGGUGGAAAGAUUAGUUUCGGUAAGGGAUGAGCUCGCGGCCUAUCAGCUUGUUGGUGGGGUAAUGGCCUACCAAGGCGUCGACGGGUAGCCGGCCUGAGAGGGUGGACGGCCACAUUGGGACUGAGAUACGGCGCAGACUCCUACGGGAGGCAGCAGUGGGGAAUAUUGCACAAUGGGCGCAAGCCUGAUGCAGCGACGCCGCGUGGGGGAUGACGGCCUUCGGGUUGUAAACUCCUUUCAGCCAUGACGAAGCCCUUGUGGUGACGGUAGUGGUAGAAGAAGCACCGGCUAACUACGUG